CGGGGCGUGGCUCAGCCCGGAUAGAGCGCACGGUUCGGGACCGUGAGGUCGGCAGUUCAAAUCUGCUCGCCCCGA
rnacentral:tRNA from 2 species